GACGAACGCUGGCGGCGUGCCUAACACAUGCAAGUCGAGCGAGUAAAUCUCCUUCGGGAGUGAAGCUAGCGGCGGACGGGUGAGUAACACGUGGGCAACCUGCCUCAUCGAGGGGAAUAGCCUUUCGAAAGGAAGAUUAAUACCGCAUAAGAUUGUAGCUUCGCAUGAAGUAGCAAUUAAAGGAGCAAUCCGCUAUGAGAUGGUCCCGCGGCGCAUUAGCUAGUUGGUGAGGUAACGGCUGGCCAAGGCGACGGUGCGUAGCCGACCUGAGAGGGUGAUCGGCCGCAUUGGGACGGCGACAAGGCCCAGAAUCCUACGGGAGGCAGCUGUGGGGAAUAUUGCACAAUGGGGGAAACCCUGAUGCAGCAACGCCGCGUGAUUGAUGACGGCCUUCGGGUUGUAAAACUCUGUCUUCAGGGACGAUAAUGACGGUACCUGAGGAGGAAGCCACGGCUAACUACGUGCCAGCAGCCGCAGUAA
rnacentral:rRNA from 1 species